rnacentral:rRNA from 1 species
UACGGAGGGUGCGAGCGUUGUCCGGAAUCACUGGGCGUAAAGGGCGCGUAGGCGGCCUGAUAAGUAGGGGGUGAAAUCCUGCGGCUUAACCGCAGGGCUGCCUUCUAAACUGUCGGGCUAGAGCACGGUAGAGGCAGAUGGAAUUCCCGGUGUAGCGGUGGAAUGCGUAGAGAUCGGGAAGAACACCGAUGGCGAAGGCAGUGGGCUGGGCCGGUACUGACGCUGAGGAGCGAAAGCGUGGGGAGCGAACAGG